GUGCUUACUUCAGCAGCACAUAUAUUAAAAUGAAAUUGAACGAUACAAAGAAGUUUAGCAUGGUACCUGCUCAAGGAUAACAUUCAAAUUCAUGAAGAAUUCCAUAUUUUU
ensembl:snRNA U6 U6 spliceosomal RNA